AAUGAACGCUGGCGGCGUGCGUAACACAUGCAAGUCGAACGAGAAAUUCCGGGCUUGCUCGGGAGAGUAAAGUGGCGAACGGGUGAGUAACGCGUGGGUAACCUGCCCCUGAAUCUGGAAUAACUUCGCGAAAGCGAGGCUAAUACCGGAUAUGGUCCCAGGGACUGUGGUCCUUGUGAUGAAAGAUGACCUCUUCACGAAAGUUGUCGUUCAGGGAGGGGCCCGCGUACCAUUAGCUAGUUGGUAGGGUAAUGGCUUACCAAGGCGAUGAUGGUUAGCUGGUCUGAGAGGAUGACCAGCCACACUGGCACUGAAACACGGGCCAGAAUCCUACGGGAGGCAGCAGUGAGGAAUUUUGCGCAAUAGGGGAAACCCUGACGCAGCAACGCCGCGUGAGUGAAGAAGGCCUUCGGGUCGUAAAGCUCUGUCAAGUGGGAAAAAAGCUUCUUGGUGAAUAGCCAGGAAGACUGAUGGUACCAUUGAAGGAAGCACCGGCUAACUCCGUGCCAGCAGCCGCCGUAAAAC
rnacentral:rRNA from 1 species